rnacentral:pre_miRNA from 1 species
UCUUAUGGAUGAGCAAAGAAAAUUGCUCCUUGAGAUGGAAUCUACUCCUGGUGAAGAUGCUAGGAA